CCCUUAGAUGUCCGGGGCCGCACGCGCGCUACACUGAAGGAAUCAGCGUGCUAAAACCAUUGUCGAAAGGCAUUGGUAAACCCAUUAAAAUCCUACGUGAUUGGGAUCGGGAAUUGCAAUUAUUUCCCUUGAACGAGGAAUUCCCAGUAAGUGUGGGUCAUAAGCUCGCGUUGAUUACGUCCCUGCCCUUUGUACACACCGCCCGUCGCUGCCCGGGACUGAGCCGUUUCGAGAAAAGCGGGGACUGCUGCUGUCGGGGCUUUCGGGCCUUGGCUUCGGUGGAAACCGCUUUAAUCGCAGUGGCUUGAACCGGGCAAAANUCGUAACA
rnacentral:rRNA from 1 species